ACUUUUUUAAUAUAACUAAUAUGGUUGGUUUCCACCCAUCCAAUCUUAGCACAAAUCUAAGAAAAAGUA
rnacentral:tRNA from 1 species